rnacentral:rRNA from 1 species
AGAGCUCGUAGGCGGUUUGUCGCGUCUGCCGUGAAAGUCCGGGGCUCAACUCCGGAUCUGCGGUGGGUACGGGCAGACUAGAGUGAUGUAGGGGAGACUGGAAUUCCUGGUGUAGCGGUGAAAUGCGCAGAUAUCAGGAGGAACACCGAUGGCGAAGGCAGGUCUCUGGGCAUUAACUGACGCUGAGGAGCGAAAGCAUGGGGAGCGAACAGGAUUAGAUACCCUGGUAGUCCAUGCCGUAAACGUUGGGCACUAGGUGUGGGGGACAUUCCACGUUUUCCGCGCCGUAGCUAACGCAUUAAGUGCCCCGCCUGGGGAGUACGGCCGCAAGGCUAAAACUCAAAGGAAUUGACGGGGGCCCGCACAAGCGGCGGAGCAUGCGGAUUAAUUCGAUGCAACGCGAAGAACCUUACCAAGGCUUGACAUGGGCCGGACCGGGCUGGAAACAGUCCUUCCCCUUUGGGGCCGGUUCACAGGUGGUGCAUGGUUGUCGUCAGCUCGUGUCGUGAGAUGUUGGGUUAAGUCCCGCAACGAGCGCAACCCUCGUUCCAUGUUGCCAGCGCGUAAUGGCGGGGACUCAUGGGAGACUGCCGGGGUCAACUCGGAGGAAGGUGGGGACGACGUCAAAUCAUCAUGCCCCUUAUGUCUUGGGCUUCACGCAUGCUACAAUGGCCGGUACAAAGGGUUGCGAUACUGUGAGGUGGAGCUAAUCCCAAAAAGCCGGUCUCAGUUCGGAUUGGGGUCUGCAACUCGACCCCAUGAAGUCGGAGUCGCUAGUAAUCGCAGAUCAGCAACGCUGCGGUGAAUACGUUCCCGGGCCUUGUACACACCGCCCGUCAAGUCACGAAAGUUGGUAACACCCGAAGCCGGUGGCCUAACCCCUUGUGGGAGGGAGCUGUCGAAGUGGGACUGGCGAUUGGGA